rnacentral:lncRNA from 1 species
UUGUUUCUCCGAGGACAGCAUGCCUACGAGUGAUUGCGAUGUGGUUUUACGUUGAUGGUAACUUCUUCGAAGUAAAGAUCGAUGAGUUCUGAUCUCUAAGGUCCCCUACUCUGUGUGAGUCAGGCCCAACAUUACUGCUGCAAUGGGGUACAUGAGGAUUCAAAUGGCAGGACCACAAAAUGAUCAUUAGUCCAAUAUCGCAGAAAGAGAUGCAUACUUCCCGUGAUUCUUCACCUACCUGUUUGCCAUUUAACUGCUUGGAUCACAAACACACCUACAGAAAGAGAGAAGCUGAGAGUUCUUAAUCCAUCCUAUACAAGUUUUGCUUAUCCAUGCUGGUUGUUUAGGUGCCUUUUCAAUCAUUCAUUGCAAUUCACAGCUUUUAAAAGUGAGCUUAAGAGCAGGUGAUCAUGUGGGUGCACAUGACAACAACAUGGAAGCCAGCAGAAACCACCACUCACUUCCACUUCACAAGGAAGGAAGCUUCUCUUUCCAGUUAUAUCACCCCAGCCAGAUCAAUAGCAUCCAAAGCUUUUGCACCUCUGAAUCCAAGGUUUCCCUCUGGGCCGGCCAUGUACUAUGUAUGUGUGUAUGCCAUCUUCCCCUUUAUCUAUUCCAUGCAUGAUGGGAAAGACAACCACUGAAACCUCAAUAUGAUCUGCUCUGGCUGCUGCUUCACCUGGAAUGCACAAAGAAAAAGAAAUCCAAAGUCAGAAGUUAUUCCCUGAUGAAAUGAAAGGCAUCACAUGAAGGAUCCAAUAUUUUAGUCAUCCUGCAACAUGCAAGUGUGACCGUGGAGCUUUCAUGGGUUUUGGUCAUCCUCCAUCUUGGAAGAAAAGGAGAAGGGAAACCUGGGCCUUCUUACCUUCUCGUGACUCCCAAGUGAUGCCAGUGGUGAAGGUGGCCAACUGCACACGGUCCCCCAUCAUUUCUUGCGACCCUAAUCUCUCCCUUUCCUCCAUAUGAACAGGCCGGACGCCGAGAGGACUAGUUGUUGUCGGAACCAAGAACUUGGAUCCAUAAUUCUACCCCCUGAGCCACUGUGCUCGAGGAAGGGGACCAAAACCCCUAGCAAACGCAUCUCUUCACCCUAACGCCCUCCUUUGCAAAUUACUGGUAUUCGCCAAUUCGAUGAGCGAGAAGAGAGUGCAGCAUCAGAAUGCGGCAUGCAAAUUUGCAAAAGAGAAGGCGGAACUCGGAACUUUCUUGCGACCACCGCUCAGACGAGGAAGGGAGGAAAGACCUACGAAUGGGGGGAGAGGGUGGCUCCGCCAUUAAUAGUCUCAAUCAUCCGGUGGUGCUUGUACCUCGCCUGCU